rnacentral:misc_RNA from 1 species
GAUGAAGAACGCAGCGAAAUGCGAUAAGUAAUGUGAAUUGCAGAAUUCAGUGAAUCUUCGAAUCUUUGAACGCACCUUGCACCCUUUGGCAUUCCGAAGGGUAUGCUCGUUUGAGUGUCAUUGUACUCUCACUCUCCCGAUGCUUUUGGAUCGGGAGUGGUGGACUUGGGUGUUGCUGCUUUGCUGUGGCUCGCCUCAAAUGGAGUAGUGCAACUCUUGGUUGGACAUAGUACGGCGUGAUAAGUGUCUUCGCCGGCGCCUCAUUAUAGAGGGUGGCCGAUCGGGAGCUCUGUGCUUCAAACCGUCUUCGGACAACAUCUGACAACUUGACCUCAAAUCGAGUAGGACUACCCGCUGAACUUAAGCAUAUCAAUAAGCGGAGGA